GCUCACUGCUGCUACUGAGAAGUAUGUUUACCUGGUGGAAGAGAGGAACAAGAAUUGGAAGGCCCAGUGUGCUGCUUUAAGAAAGCAAGUGUUGAAUUACAAGACUGAGAGAGAAAAAAGAGAGGACACAGUCAGACAGCUGCAGCAGGAGAUUGCUGCUGCUGUUAAGAAGCUCUCUGUGGCAGAAGGGUCUCUUGAAGAGUCCACGAGGCGCUGCAGGACCCUGCAGGAAGCCAACCUGGGCCUGAGAAAGGAACUGGGAGAGGCUGAAGAGAAGGACACAGUCAGACAGCUGCAGCAGGAGCUUGCUGCUGCUCUUAAGAAGCUCUCUGUGGCAGAAGGGUCUCUUGAAGAGUCCACGAGGCGCUGCAGGACCCUGGAGGAAGCCAACCUGGGCCUGAGAAAGGAACUGAGAGAGGCUGAAGACAAGGACACAGUCAGACAGCUGCAGCAGGAGCUUGCUGCGGCUCUUAAGAAGCUCUCUGUGGCAGAAGGGUCUCUUGAAGAGUCCACGAGGCA